rnacentral:lncRNA from 1 species
UUGUACCAGUGCAUUUGGAAGCAUCAGAAUAACUUGAGGUAAUAUAUUCAUACAAAAGCUUUGCUCCCGAUUCAUUGCAAUCCUAUCGCCUGAAUUUGAUCCGAGUCCUGGGAUAACUCAGUUGGUAGAGCAUGAGAUUCUCGGGGUUGUGGGUUCAAGCCCACCUUAUCAAAAAGAUUCCUGCAUUGCAGAGGGUUCGGCUAGAAGACCCUCUUGGUCCCUUCCAACUCUAUGAUUCUGUGGUCUAUGAACCUCACUUCUUCACCAUUUCAUCACUGUACAAUGAUGAAAAAGGUCGAACAGUGAUUAUAGAAGUUAAGAUCAAUAAUGAAAAAGUGAUAGUUAUUGGAAUUUAUGCACCAAAUGAAAGAAAAUCUGAAUUCUAUCAAUUCUUGGAAGAAAAAGUCAUAGAAUAUUUAGGGGGGGGGAAUUAUAUUAUUAGGAGAUUUUAAUGGAGUAGUCAAUCCAAACAUGGACAGAACAAUAAAGAAGAAAGAAAAGAGGCAGAACAAACUCCCAACUACAUUUUUCCAAUUAAUAGAACUCCUGAAUUUGUUUGACGCUUGGAGGUUUAAGAAUCCAACAGAGAAAGAAUUUACACAUUAUUCAGAGCCACAUAAAUCGGCAGGACGAAUCAACGCGAUCUGGACAACAAAGGAUUUAUUAAAUAAUAUUACAAAAGCAGAAAUCCAUCCAAGGACAAUUUCAGAUCACAGCGCGGUCUGGGUUAACUUUAAAGGAAAAGAAGAAAAGGUUAAAAGGUGGCACCUUAAUGAGAGUAUGUUAAACGAUGAAAAAACUGUACAGAAGGCCAAGCAAAUCUUAGAAGAAUAUUUUAAGUUUAAUUUAAAUAAAGGAAUAGAUCUAGAGACGGUUUGGGACGCGGGUAAAGCCGUCAUAAGAGGCUUCUUUAUCCAACAAAACGCAUUCCAAUGGAAAAUAAAGGAGGAGAAGAAAAUGGAGAUCUGGGAGGAAAUUAGAAAAAAGGAAAGGAUCCUUUUCCAAAAACCAGAUGAUGAACUAAUUAAGCAAAAUAUAAAAAUUUUACAGACGCAAUUCUCCAUGAUAAUAAACGAAGAGAUAGAAUGGAAGAUAAAAUGGUUGAGACAUAGAAAUUUUGAGUUUGCAAAUCAACCUGGUAAACUUCUGGCCUGGCAAUUAAAGAAGAAAAAGGAAGAUAGAAUUAUCAAUAAAAUUAAAAUUGAAGACAAAUGGAUUCAAGAAUCGAAGGAAAUUAGUAAAAACUUUUCUAGUUUUUUCGGAAAACUAUACAAAGAAGGUCCAGAGACUCUAGAAAAAAUAAUUGAUUAUUUGGGCAAAAAUAAACUACCAAUAAUACCUAAGGAAAAAGCUGAAAUCUUGAACUCACCAAUAACAGCUAUGGAGGUGCAACAAGCUAUACAGAGAUCAAAAUUAGGAAAGACACCGGGCCCAGAUGGUCUCCCAGCUAAUUACUAUAAAAAGUUAGAACAAGCAUUAGAUCUAUCCAAUUACCGCCCGGUUUCGAAUCUUCCAUUCCUGGGUAAGGUGAUUGAGAGAGCGGUUGCUGAACAGCUUGGUAGGUUUCUGGAUGAAACAUCGGCUCUGGAUCCAUUCCAGUCUGGCUUCCGCGCUGGUCAUGGGACCGAGACGGCUCUGGUCGCCCUAACAGAUGAUCUCCGCAGGCAGCUGGAUCGAGGCGGGUCGGGGCUGCUGAUUCUUCUAGACCUGUCAGCAGCCUUCGACAUGGUUGAUCACGAACUCCUGGACCACCGCCUUGCCGACGUGGGGAUCCAGGGCACAGUCCUUCAAUGGCUGCGCUCGUUUCUCUCCGGUCGGGGACAGAGGGUGGCGCUUGGGGGGGAAUUGUCAUCCCGCCACUCCUUGGUGUGUGGAGUGCCUCAGGGUGCGAUACUCUCCCCGAUGCUUUUUAACAUCUUUAUGCGCCCCUCGCCCAGCUUGUCCGGAGUUUUGGGCUGGGUUGCCAUCAGUAUGCCGAUGACACCCAACUCUAUCUGUUGAUGGAUGGCCAUCCUGACUCGGCCCCAGACACACUGACCAGAUGUUUGGAAGCUGUGGCUGGAUGGUUACGUGGAAGCCGGUUGAAGUUAAAUCCUUCGAAGACAGAGGUCCUCUGGCUGGGACGGGACGAUAUGGGAUUGGGGGCAACUCCCAUCUCUUGCGGGGUGCAAUUAGUGCCAGCACCGUCCGUUAAGAGUUUGGGUGUAAUCUUCGAUACCUCCCUCUCUAUGGAGGCGCAGAUUACAGCUAUAACAAAGGCGGCAUUUUUUCAUCUCCGCCAAGCUAAGCAGUUGGCCCCUUAUCUCUCUCGCCCUGACCUAGCCACUGUGAUCCACGCGACGGUCACCUCCAGACUGGAUUAUUGUAACUCGCUCUACGUGGGGCUGCCCUUGAGACUGACCCAGAAACUCCAGCGGGUGCAGAAUGCCGCGGCGAGACUCCUUAUGGGGUCUUUGCUGCGAGAUCACAUUCAUCCGGUAUUAUACCAGCUGCACUGGCUCCCGGUGGAGUACAGGAUCAGGUUUAAGGUGCUGGUUUUAACCUUUAAAGCCCUAUACGGCCUAGGACCCUCGUACCUACGGGACCGCCUCUCCUGGUAUGCCCCACAGAGGAACCUACGGUCUGCAAAUAAAAACACCCUGAAGGUCCCAGGCCUCAGAGAGGUUAGGCUGGCCUCAACUAGAGCCAGGGCUUUCUCGGCUGCGGCUCCAAUCUGGUGGAACGCUCUGUCACAAGAGACUAGGGCCCUGCGGGACCUGACAUCUUUCCGCAAGGCCUGCAAGACAGAGUUGUUCCACCAGGCCUUUGGUCAGGGCCCAGCCUGACUCCCUCCUCUGGCAACCUGCACAGAAUUUUGCGUAACGGAUGCCAUUAAAUUGAUUUUAAUUAAUUUUUAUAAUGAAAUGUUUUAGAAUAUUGGAUUAUUUGAUUGUUUGAUUAUUUGUUUGUUGUUAGCCGCCCUGAGCCUGGCUUUGGCUGGGGAGGGCGGGAUAUAAAUAAAAUUUAUUAUUAUUAUUAUUAUUAUUAUUUCUUCCCAUGAAAGACCUAAUGAAUAAUAUUCUGGCAAAUGGAAAGCUACCGAAAACCUGGAAGGACAGCUUUAUUACUCUUAUCCACAAACAGGGAACAGAUGCCUCAAACAUGGCCAAUUACAGACCCAUUGCACUGCUAAAUAACGAUUACAAGAUAUUUGCAGACAUUCUUGCAAAUAGAUUAAAAAUGGUGCUGAAAGAGAUAAUUCAUAAAGAUCAAACUGGAUUUCUUCCUGGACGAUUUAUGCAAUCCAAUAUUAGAUGUGUGAUUAAUGUAUUAGAAUAUUUGGAUAUUAAAAUUGAUAAACCAGCAGCUAUUAUGUUGGUGGACGCUGAAAAAGCUUUUGACAACGUGUCCUGGAAGUUUAUGAAAAAAUUAAUGGAAGAAAUCGGACUGGGAGAAAAUAUUUGUAAAGGAAUAAAUGCCAUCUAUUCGGAACAAUAUGCAAAAUGGAAGAAUUACUGUGGAGUGCAAAAUAAACAAGGGAACAGGACAGGGCAGCCCACUGUCACCACUGAUAUUUAUCUUGGUGAUGGAAGUCUUGAACAAUCAGAUAAGAAAGGAUCAGCUUGUUAAAGGCAUCACUCUGGGAAACAAAACAUAUAAAAUUAAAGCUUUUGCGGACGAUUUACUUGUUAUGACUGAAAACCCUAAAGAAAGUCUGAAAAGAGUGCUGGAAUUGAUUAAAGAAUUUGGAGAAGUGGCAGGCUUUAAGCUGAAUAUAACAAAAACAAAAAUGCUUGUUAAAAAUGUAACCACAGAAGAAAAGGACGACUUAGAAAAAAUAUUGGGCCUGAAAAUCUCCUCAAAAGCGAAAUACUUGGGUAUUUGGAUCACCCCCAAGAACAUAAACCUAUUUCAGGAUAAUUACACCAAAACUUGGUUAGAGAUUAGAAAAAAAUUUGUAACCUGGAGUAAACUAAAAUUAACAUUUCUGGGUAGGAUUUCCAUUAUAAAGAUGAAUGUGCUUCCAAAAUUAAUCUUUUUAUUUCAAAUGAUUCCAAUACUGGGUGAAGCAGGUUGUCUCAAGAUAUGGCAAAGAGAAAUUUCCAAAUUCCUGUGGGAAGGGAAAAAACCUAGGAUUAAACACCUGACCUUAAUAGACAUAAAAGAGAGAGGAGGCUUUUCCCUACCCGACUUAAAACUUUACUAUGAGGCAGCCUGUUUCACCUGGCUAAAAGAUUGGUGCACGUUGCAGGAUCCGGACCUCCUGGACCUAGAAGGUUUUGACAACCGCUGGGGAUGGCACGCCUACCUGAUAUAUGGAAAGGCGAAAAUUCAUAAAAAUUUUACCAACCAUAUAAUAAGAAAAUCACUCUUUGCUGUAUGGGAAAAAUAUAAAGACCUGAUGGAGCCUAAAGUCCCGUGGUGGACUUCUCCAAUAGAAGCCGUAACAGUAAAACGGAAAAAUACUCAGGAAAGCUGGCCAACAUAUAAAACACUUCUAAAAAAUGAAGAUAACCAAAUAAAAUUUAAAAACUUUGAGGAAAUGAGAGAACACAUCUCAGACUGGUUCCAAUACCAUCAGUUAUUUGAAAAAUUUAAAUCUGACAAACAAAAGGGGUUCUCAACAGAAAUUUCCCAAUUCGAAUCUGAUCUUAUAAAUUCUAAAAGAAAAACUCUUUCCAAAAUGUAUCCAAAAAUGUAUUCCAAAAUGAGGAGGUAACAUUGGCAAUGGUGAGGUGGUCCCAGGAUUUUGGCCAUUCAAUAACCAUGGCCCAGUAGGAAAAUUUAUGGAAGAUCAAUUGGAAAUUCACAAAUUGUUACACGAUUAGAGAGAACUUUCAAAAAAUGCAACAUCGAUGGUAUCUAACACCAUGGAAACUUUCAAAAAUGUAUAAAAAUGUGUCAAGUAAUUGUUGGAGAUGCGGUGAAUCAGGAACAUUCUACCAUAUGUGGUGGAUAUGUAGGAAAAUACAGGUAUUCUGGGAGAGGAUCCACACAGAACUGCAAAAAAUGCUAAAGAUCUCUUUCAACAAAAAACCAGAGGCCUACCUCCUGGGAAUAACAGAUUUGGAUAUUCCACAAACGAGGAAGGGUAUUGUAAUGGUUCUAGGGGUUGCUCGUGCGUAAGCCGGUGCCAACACCUGGCUGGGGUGCCUGAGUGAACCUUUUCUGUCCGGACAGCCACUCACCCGUGGCUGUCUCAAUCGCUGGCAGAAUCCGUCAGUGGGCGUUUCUUAAACUUCUUCCAGCAAAGAAGCUCUUUGACACCUAGUCUCCUCCUACUCUCCCUGCGCGGAAGCCUUCUGCGCAAGGAGGGCGUAGGCAGCGGAGGACCCUUACUCUCCCCACUGGUCCCCGGCAAGGAGUCAUGGGACCGCCUCGCCGAUUCCCCCAUCUGCCCCCCUUCUCCACUGGUGCUACGCUGAUUCUCUUCCCCAGAAGUUGGGCUGCCUCUCCCAAUCCCGGGACGCUCUCUGGAAUCCCUCUGGAGCUUGCUCUCUCCCUCCGGCACUGAUGGCAGUUCCCUGACAUCCACCUCCUCCUCAGGACCCCACCCCCACCCCUGGCGCGAUACAACUUCCUCUCUCUCCUCGGCCGACGAUGCAGGGAAUCCCCUGAAGGAGCUGUCAUCAUCUUCUGAGGAUUCAAAACCAGCCUCCCAUCCGCUCGGAUCUCUUCCCGCUGGUCGAACCUCCCAGUCUGAUUCUUCUCCCUUCGACACCUCCUCUCCCUCCUCUUCGGAGGCAGGAAAACCCACAAAGUCCCCUUCGUCGUCUGUGGGUCCAAAUUCUCCCUCCCAGAAUCUAGCUAAUGGUUUGGGCUUAUCCGGGAACAAACUGUGGAAUUCUUCCACCAGAUACCAGUCAGUGAUUGAUUCAGCAGGGACCCACGUGUUUUCCGACCUAGGUUCCCCCUCCCAGGCUACCAAGUACUCUACCUGGCGACCUCGCCACCUUGAAUCAAGUAUUUCCGUGGCUUCGUUACAGUAUUCCCUCUCCUCUACCUGCGGGUGGGUGGUAACCCCUCCCUCCCGUCCCGGGAAUUCCCACCCCUCCCUGUAAGGUGAAAGUAGGGACCUAUGGAACACCGGGUGUAUCUUCAUGCUGUCAGGCAACUUGAGUUUAAAUGCCACUGGGUUAACCUGCUGUAUUACCUCAAAAGGCCCCAGCCGCCUCGGCUGCAACUUCUUAAACCCUCCCUUUAGGGGCAACCCUUGGGUUGACAACCACACCCACACCCACCCAUAUGGCCUCCCCCUCCCGACGGUGCCUGUCCGCCUGCCUCUUGUAAACUUCCUUGGCCCGCUCCAAGUUCAGCCUGAGUUGCUGGUGUAAGGCCUCCAUUUCCUCCACAAAUUGCUCAACCGCAGGUACACUCCAUCCUUCCUCCCCCCGCCCCGGGAAGGCCCUGGGGUGACACCCGUAAUUGGCCAUGAAAGGGCUCAUUCCCGUGGACACGUGUUCAGCGUUAUUGUACGCAAAUUCAGCCAAAGCUAAUUUCUCUACCCAGUCGUUCUGUUUCUCGCUGACAUAGCAGCGUAGGUAUUGCUGGAGUAUACCAUUCGCUCUUUCGGCUUGUCCGUUGGUUUCUGGGUGCCUUGCCGUCAAGAAGCUCACCUCGACCUGUAGCAAGCUCAUGAGUUUCCGCCAGAACCGGGAAGUAAAUUGUUUCCCGCAAUCCAAGAUUACCCUCAAUGGAGUCCCAUGCAGUCUAAAAAUGUGAUCCACAAACAGCCUGGCUGUCUCCUCUGCCAUUGCUGCAUGUGAGCAAGCUACGAAAUGGAACAUUUUAGUCAGUAGAUCGACUACUACCAUGACCGCUGUCUUUCCCCUUGACUUGGGCAGAUCUGUCAUAAAAUCAAUGGACACCACCUCCCAGGGCUUUUCCGGUGUGGGUAAGGGUUCCAGUAACCUCGCGGGGGCAGCCCUUUCCCCCUUAGCCCUCUGGCAUCGGUCGCACCCUCGUACAUAUUCUCGUAUGUCUUCCCUCACUUUGGCCACCAGAACUGCCUGGUAGUAGUAGCAUGGUCUUGUGCUGUCCAAAGUGCCCAGCUGUUGGGUUGUCAUGGAGUUGUCUAAGUACCUUCCCCCUCAAAGUCUCCCCGGUACAUACAACGCCCCCUUAUAGUACAGUAGCCCUUCCUUUUCCUCAAACCCUCCAUUGACUUCCUUUCCGUCCCUGAGUUCCCUGAUUUUUGUCUGAGCAAACUCAUCGUCUCUGGUGAGCCCUGCCAGUUCUCGUUUCCCAACCAACGCUCCCACACACACACACACCGGUCCUCGGGGAACACGUGCCUGGUCUCUGGUGGCCCCUCUCCUUCCAUGUACUCCGGUUUCCAGGAGAGAGCAUCUGCCCUUACGUUUUCCUCGGAUCGGAUCUCGAAGAAAAACUUGGCGAACUCCUGGGACCAUCUGAUCUGUCUCUGGUUGAGCACUUGCACGGUCCGCCAGUAUUCCAAGUUCUUGUGGUCAGUUUGGACCUGGAUCUUGUGCCACGCCCCUAUCAACAGAUGUCUCCAUUGCCGAAAUGCCGCAUAGAUGGCAAGCAGUUCUCGGUCAUACACUGUGUAGUUUUGCUCUGACUUGCUCAGCUUCCUAGAGAAAAAGGCACACGGCCUCCAGUUCUGCUUGGCCCCAGGCUGCAAAAGGACCGCUCCAAUGGCGCGGUCGGACGCGUCCGUCUCCAGUCUCAUGGGCUUCUCCGGAUCCACGUGCAGGAGCUGCUCUUCCGAGGCGAAUGCCUUCUUCAGUUUUUCAAAGGAUUGCUGCGCACCCUCUGUCCACGCGAACUUCUUUUUGCUACUAAGACAAUCCGUUAUGGGCGCUGUCAAGUGAGCGAAGUUCUUUAUGAACUUCCUGUAGAAGUUGCUGAAGUCUAGGAACCUUUGCACAUCCUUUCUGUUUUGGGGGGCUUUCCAUUCCAGCACUGCCUUCACUUUGCCCGGAUCCAUGGCUAGUCCUUUGUCUGACAACCUGUACCCCAGGAACCCGACCCCCCUGGCGUGCAGUUGGCAUUUUUCCAGCUUGACGCACAACUGAUGCUUCUUCAAUCUCUGUAGCACCUCCCUGAUGUCUCUGACGUGCUGCUUUUCAUUGUCCGAAUAGAUUAAGACGGCAUCCAAAAAGGCUACACAAUUCUUGUACAGCAGAGGCCCCAACACAUGGUGCAUGAAGGCUUGAAAGCAGGCAGACCCCGAUUGUAAUCCAAAUGGCAUGACUAAGUACUCAAAAGCCCUCAGGGGGGUGAACAUGGUCAUUUUCCAUUCGUCCCCUUCCCUUAUCCUAAUCAGAUUGUAUGCUCCCCUGAGGUCCAGCUUGGUAAAAAUCUUCCCCUGCCUCACACGUGUCAAAAUAUUGUCAAUCCUGGGCAUUGGGAAAGUCAUGGGUUCUGAUACCAGAUUUAGGGCCCGGUAAUCCACGACUAAUCUGGGCUGAUUAGUCUCUUUUUUGUCCAAAAGAACACUGGACUGCCCCCCACCACCUUUGAUUCCCUUAUGAAACCUCUCUUCAGGUUCUUGUCAAUAAACUGCCGCAGCUCCUGCAGCUCCCGGUCGGACAUGGCAUACAGCUUACCCACUGGUAACAGAGCCCCUGGAAGCAGGUUGAUUUGGCAGUCAAAGGGCCUGUGGGGGGGCAGUCUAUCUGCCUCCCUCUCGCUGAAGAUCUCCUUCAAAUCAGCAUAUUGUGGUGGCACCUCCCCUUUUUGCUCCAGGGCCAACCCAGCCACCCUGGCCACAGUCAUUCUUGGUUCCUUCCCUCCCAGACAGUGUUCUAAGCAGUAAGCUGACCCAAAGGUGACCGACCGCUGAUGCCAUGACACCACUGGGUCAUGUGUUGCCAGCCACCUCAUUCCCAGUAUUAUUGGGGGUCCUGCCAGCGUGGCCACAUGAAAGGCAAUGGUUUCCGUGUGCCUGGAGACCCUCAUUCGCAUUGGCGGUGUCUGGUGUGUCACUUCCCCUCCCAGGAGUUCCCUGCCAUCGAUGGUGGUCACCUGCAAGGGAAAAUCUAGUGGCAACAGGUGGAGUUGGUGCUCGAGAGCAAAGUCUCUGCUGAAGAAAUUACACGAGCUGCCAGAAUCUAGCAGUCCCUCCACUUUGACGGGGUGCCCAUUUGGGAGUUCUAGCACCACCUCUAUGGCUAUAGCUGCCUUGGGGGGGGUCAGGCUGGGGCACUUCUAUGGGUUGCUGGCCUGGCUGCUGCCCCUGCUGGUUGGUAGCCAGGCGUUGUCGUUUCCCUGCACCGGCCCCUCCUCCACCUUCUUGUCGUGGCCUGCAGCCCCCAUCAUGCCUUGCCAGGCUUCUCAUUGAGGGCAGACCUUUGCAAAAUGUCCCGGUCGCUGACAAAGGAAACACUUCUUGGUAGUUUUCCACUCCUUCCCCUCCCUUUUCUGACCUUCACCAGCGUUUGAAACUUCGCGCGCAUGCGCUCCAUCAAUUUCCAUCGGCUCUGCCGCCUGGGAAGGCUCCCUCGGCAUCUCCGGAAUGCGGUUGUCAUGGAAACGUUCGCCCUUAUCUCCCACUUCUCCUGAGCCCGCGCUUCCUGGCGUAAACCAAACGCAAGCACAGUCUUUGUGAGUUCAUCCAUCGACCGCGGGCGGGGCGCUCGGGACAACUCGUCUUUCACUUCGGGGGACAAACCCGCUUCAAACAACAUUUGCAUUGGUUCACAGUCCAGAUCCCACCCAAGCUUGUGGACUAACAUCGCAAAACGCGACCAGUAGUUUCUGACGGACAGGCCCCUGGCUUGCACCCCAUCAGCUCCCGCCGUGUCACGCUUUGCUCAACCUCGCCUAAGAACAUCGCGUCCAUUCCCUGAAAGAAUUUCUUAAGGUCCUUCAAGGCAUCAUUCUGCGUCGCCAUUAGGGGCCUGAUCCAUUCGCGCGCCCCAUCCUGCAGAUGUCCCACAAUGUAAGCCACCCUCUCCCCGUCAUCCGCAAAGUCAUUUUUCUGCAAUUCCAAAGCGUACUGAAUUUCCGUUCGGAAGGCAUUGUAGUCGUGGGGCUUUCCUCCAAACUUGUGUACCAGCCCCGGGACCUUCCUUCCUAUCGGGGUGGCUCUGACCUGUGCAUCCUGAGCCCGUCUCUCCUCCAGCCGCGCAGACAGGGUAGCUACAUGCGCCUCCAGGUCUCGGUUCCUCUCGACCAGACCUCGCAUCAUGGCUUCUUGCUCUGUCUCUCCAGCCGGUCCCGUUUGGCUCAUCGUGCUGCCUCUCCGGGGCUGCGCACAAGCAACGUCAGGGACUGACGGAUUGCUGUAAUGGUUCUAGGGGUUGCUCGUGCGUAAGCCGGUGCCAACACCUGGCUGGGGUGCCUGAGUGAACCUUUUCUGUCCGGACAGCCACUCACCCGUGGCUGUCUCAAUCGCUGGCAGAAUCCAUCAGUGGGCGUUUCUUAAACUUCUUCCAGCAAAGAAGCUCUUUGACGCCUAGUCUCCUCCUACUCUCCCUGCGCGGAAGCCUUCUGCGCAAGGAGGGUGUAGGCAGCGGAGGACCCUUACUCUCCCUGCUGGUCCCCGGCAAGGAGUCAUGGGACCGCCUCGCCGAUUCCCCCAUCUGCCCCCCUUCUCCACUGGUGCUACGCUGAUUCUCUUCCCCAGAAGAUGGGCUGUCUCUCCCAAUCCCAGGACACUCUCUGGAAUCCCUCUGGAGCUUGCUCUCUCCCUCCGGCACUGAUGGCAAUUCCCUGACAGGUAUCUUUUUAUAUGCGACGGCGGCAGCAAGAGUUUUGAUCGCAGCAAAAUGGAAGAGUAAUGAAAUCCCCUCUAUACAAGAUUGGAUCCAAAAGCUGACAGAAUAUGCCGAAUUAGAUGGUUUAUCAGAAAAAAUAAAGAACAAAUCAAAACAGGAAUUUGUUUCAAAAUUGGAGGUUUUCAAAGAUUAUCUGAAAAAUAUAGUAGUUUAAAUUCUGUUGCAGCAUUCGAGGAACUUCAGUAAUACCGUAUUUUUCGCACCAUAGGAUGCACCGGACAAUAGGACGCACUUUGUUUUAGAGGGGGGAGAACAAGAAAAAAAAAAUUUCCCCCUCUCUGCCCAGCGCCCCUUCAGUGAAGCAGCAGGAGGCGCUGCAGAGAGAGGGGGAGAACUUUCCCCCUCUUGUUUUCCUGCUCUAAAACAAGGUGCCGUUUAAGGUGCGUUCAGGCGGCUACCUUGGAAGCCUGGAGAGCGAGAGGGGUCAGUGUGUUCCUUUCGACCUGCUCUUUGGGGCUGGCGGGGGGAAGCCCACCACCAGCCCCAAAGAGCAGGUCAGGGAGCAGCGGAAAGGCGCAGCGGAGAGGCUCCUGCCAUAGCCGCACGUCACCUCUCCAGCCGGGAGAGGGUCGCAGGGGGCUGCUUUAGUCCCACGCGCGCUCUCCCGGCUGGAGAGGUGACGCGGGGCUGUAGAGGCUCCUGCCAUAGCCGCGCGUCACCUCUCUAGCCGGGAGAGCGCGUGCGGGGCUAAAGAAGCCAUAGCCCCGCGACCCUCUCCCGGCUGGAGGUGACGCGCAGCUAUGGCAGGAGCCUCUAUAGCCGCGCGUCACCUCUCCAGCCGGGAGAGAGUCGCGGGGCUAUGGCAUCUUCGCUCCAUAGGACGCACACACAUUUCCCCUUCAUUUUUGAAGGGGAAAAAGUGCGUCCUAUAGAGCGAAAAAUACGGUAAUUGCAAGGUAGAUCUAAGAAAUUAGAUUUAUUGAGAAUAAGUUAAAUUAUGUUAAAAGUGUGUAUUGGCAAAAACUAAUAAGAAUUUGAAAUAUGGAAUAGACGGGAGGUUGGGUCUUUAGUGUCAAGACCAAUAGAUGUUUUAUUGUUUGCUAAGAAAAUUAUGUGUCUAUGGUUAUUUUUUUGUAAUUUGUGUCUAAUUUGGUAUUUGUGUUUUUUUCUUUUUUUCUUGUUGUAUAAAUAAAAAACUUUUUUUAAAAAAGACCCUCACUUCUUCACAAUGAGGGCACCACCACAAUUUUUUAUUCAGCAAUUUUUUGCAUAAUAGGAGUUUGCCUUUAUUAAAUUGGAGAGCGAAAGAAGAAGGAAUCUCAGGGUGGGCUUUUUUUGUGGGGGACAUGACUUUUCUGGUCAGAGGCAGAAGGAGCUUGGGUCUGUGGGAUAUGAAAUUCAUAGCAGUCAGGUACAACAUUCCUAGAGUGGACAUGCUAGGGGAUGCUUUGUGCCACCCAGAAGAAAACUUCCUCUUUCCUCCGGAGCGGGGACAAGCGCUUCCUCUACAUGUGACUUGAAAUAAGGUAAAGGUAAAGGUACCCCUGCCCGUAGGGGCCAGUCGUGUCUAACUCUAGGGUUGCGUGCUUAUCUCGCUCUAGAGGCCGUGAGCCGGCGCCGUCCGAAGACACUUCCGGGUCACGUGGCCAGCGUGAUGAAGCUGCAGCUGGCGAGCCAGCACCAGUGCAGCACACGGAAACGCCGUUUACCUUCCCGCUAUAAAGCGGUACCUAUUUAUCUACUUGCACUUAAGAGUGCUUUCGAACUGCUAGGUGGGCAGGAACUGGGACCGAACGACGGGAGCUCACCCCGCCGCGGGGAUUCGAACUGCCAACUAUACGAUCGGCAAGUCCUAGGGACUGAGGUUUCACCCACAGCGCCACUGGGUGGAGGAGCACACCUCCAUGUGCUUCAUUCUUUCUUCUCCAUUUUAUUUUUUUCUAUGUGUUAGGAGAAGUGACUGCUCAGUCGCAGUCAUUUGGGACUAACUCCCUUAUAUUAUAGCUUAUAGAUAUAGAUAUACUUUUGUAACAUAAGCCUGCCUUCAGGAAUCUAAUUGUGAACUGAAUGAAAAUGAAUAAGCUACAUGUAUAUUGAUUUUAAUAAGAUUGUUGUGUCUGCACUUUUAAAGAGGGAUAACAAGGGAUCUUAUCAGGAAUCCUAAAUAGUGAGGCUAAGACGAGCCUGCAACAAGCUUACCGCUGUGCAAAUUUGAAAAGGAGAAUGUUUGAACUAUGCUAAGAUAUAGAACUUGUUAAUGCAAGUUAGUAAGGAUCUCAUCAAAUAAUAUAUCCUCUCCUGCCGUUCUAAACAUUCCCACAAGUCAGUCCCUAGCUAGAGAUCUGGCAUCCCCUUGUCUCAGACCAGAUUUGGGUCUCUGCCUCCAAGGAGUUUAGACGCACACGGUUGAGACAUGUUGACUGCAGCAGGCAAUGGCUCCCUCACAUGUGUGAACAGCCAUUUGGAGGUAACUCUCAAACACCACAGAGAUUGGGCAUUGCUUUGACGAAUAUCCUGCAACAAACCACCUUCCUGAGCCCUCUGGUCUCUCCCACGGCCAGUAAAAGUAAAAUACUUGUUUACCUGACGUUGACACAAAAGCUCACAUACUACAGAAAUGAAUGAAAUGUUUAUUUCUUUCCCGCUUUCCUUCCCUCUCUCUUCCCACUUUUCUGCCCCCCCAACUCCAUAUUGCCUAGAACAGUACUGUCUCACUCUGAAUAGGACUGAUUUGUUUGAAGGAUUCUGUGACUUGAAAACAGAGACUCUGGGUGUACCCAAAAAUUUAAUAAAAACAUUUUAAAAAACAACAGUCUCUCUCAUCCAUUAACAUUCUGCAGUGCAGCUUCAUUGGAAAGCCAUGGAAUGUGAUCCUGCAAAGGGCCAGUCUAGGUAUUAGGGCUGCCACUUUUUUUGCACCUAAGAGGCAGACAAUAUGCGGUAGGUAAAUAAGAUGUUUUGGGUUGUAGUUGAGGAAAUUUCCUCUAAGCCCCCAAACACACUCCACAAAGCACAUAGAUAACAUGUAUGCAGCAGGUUUACUAUCACAUUAUAACAUGCCCUGUAUGGAGCAGUUACAGAAAUCUCAGUAUGGUGCCUAUCUGUUAUUCUGAAAUGUGAGCUGCAGUACAAAAUACCAGUUUUUGUGCAGCCUGGGCCCAUUCAUAUUUAUUUAGGAAUCCCAUGCAGUAUUUUAAGGAGCAGG